rnacentral:rRNA from 1 species
UACGUAGGGUGCAAGCGUUAAUCGGAAUUACUGGGCGUAAAGCGUGCGCAGGCGGUUAUGUAAGACAGAUGUGAAAUCCCCGGGCUCAACCUGGGAACUGCAUUUGUGACUGCAUAGCUAGAGUACGGUAGAGGGGGAUGGAAUUCCGCGUGUAGCAGUGAAAUGCGUAGAUAUGCGGAGGAACACCGAUGGCGAAGGCAAUCCCCUGGACCUGUACUGACGCUCAGGCACGAAAGGCGUGGGGAGCAAACAGG